rnacentral:lncRNA from 1 species
GCAGAUUGUUUCUCCCAAACUGCCAUAGCCCAGGAGAGCCCCCUUCCCGACAUUAACGUAACAAUAUACGCUACCUUUGAUCUGUCUGAAGGAAACGAAGAUAGCUGUAGCUCAAAAAUAAGUGAGCACUGAGAAAGAAAACCUCGGGAGUUACCAGGACUCCCCGAAUAUCUCUCCGUAGGUGUUAAGCAGGGUUCUCAGGGAGCCGGGAUAGGUUGUACAAACUCACCUUUUAGAGGUGGCAGGCAGCCUCUGAGCUAACUCCCUGAUUUGCACCAUAAUAGCCUUUAACCCAUGGUUGUGGCGUUCCAUCAAGGAACUGAGCCCUUCCAAAAGGCCCUGUAGGAACUCCUGAUGUCUCCCAAUGGUGGCUCCCUGAGGGAGACAGCUUGGCGGAGCUGGUCCAAGUCUGCUGGGUCUGUCAGGGCCAGUUCGUACUAUCAAGGCACAAGGUGAGACCCAAAUGCAGACACAGGAGGCAGAUGGUUGGAGUCUUACAAUGUUUAUUCAUCCAAACGGGUAUGAAAGAGAAUGUUCAAAAAGGCAAAAAGUCAAAACCAGAUCAGAGUCCAGGAGGUACAGAGUGGCAGACAGGCUCGUGGUCAAAGCAGGCAGGCGGGUACAGAGUCCAGAAAACAGGCAAGGGUCAAAACCGGGAGGACUAGAAAAAGGAGAAUAGCAAAAGGAGUACGGGAAAAACACGCUGGUUUACUAAACAUAUGAUGUGGGGGCACACUUCCUAUCACAUGACAUGGGGGCACACUUCCUAUCACAUGACAUGGGAUAAUGACGUACACUACAAAAGGCAUGCCUAUGCAUCACCCAACCGGAUGGCUUAAUUGUUAUGGUAUUGUGUUAUUUUUUAUUUUAUUUUGUACUUGAUUUUACUGGAAAUAUGUCUUCUACCUAUUUAAUGUUCUGGGUGUUUGUUGGUUCUCAUGAAGACAGGAGACUCAUAUGACUAUGUCCUUACACCACCCGACUGCUCUAUAUUGUAAUUUGUGACAUUGAUUCGUUAGAAGACUGAAGACUUAGUUACUAUCACAAUGUCAUAUCGCCUGGCGGAAGAUGCAGUUACAAGUCCGUGUCAACUACGUGCUACAUUUCCCCCUCGGAGGACAAUGCAUUUUUAUCCAAACUAAACAGAAUAACGAGGCUUGAAAUGUUGAGUAAUCCGUUACUUCGCACUAAUGCAUGCCUUUCAAACUUCUUUCCAUCGGUCUCGAGGUGGAUUCACAUCCUAAUCUAGACUUUUGGUAUAAAAGUUAGAGCCUAGAUAUAAUAUAUAAGUAUGUUUGGAAGCAUAAGCCCUUUCUAUUUCAAUGAACAUUUACAACCAAAUUUGUCUUCAAAUUGCAAGGCUUUGCAAUGCUCAUUGAAAAGCUCAAUGGGCAACUGACUAUUUUCACCCACAUAAAGUUGACCAACCAUAUCACUGGAGGUCAGCUCCCAGUUCACCACUGGAGGUCAGCUCCCAGUUCACCAUAUCACUGGAGGUCAGCUCCCAGUUCACCACUGGAGGUCAGCUCCCAGUUCACCAUAUCACUGGAGGUCAGCUCCCAGUUCACCACUGGAGGUCAGCUCCCAGUUCACCACUGGAGGUCAGCUCCCAGUUCACCAUAUCACUGGAGGUCAGCUCCCAGUUCACCACUGGAGGUCAGCUCCCAGUUCACCAUAUGACAGGCGGUGUCUGAGAAAGGCCCCAGACAUGGAUUGUUCUCCAUGCUCCCGCCCAGCAGGCGGUGCCGGUGCAUCAAGGCUCUGACAAACAGACUCCUAAACAACUUCAAUCACCUGGCCAUAAGAUUGUUACAUGGCUAACAACUGCUCUCACUCACACCUACGCUUCUGCUAAAAUGAUUAUUGGUUAGAUUUCAUACUCUCACAAUUACAUGCACAAACUUACACUCACAUACAUACACUCAUCACCAUAUACAAACCCACCUGACUAAAAUGUAAAUGUAAAUACCGUAUACUACGUCAGCUACUGUAUAAUCAACAGCGGCUAGACUACUUUAGUCUGUGGCUCGCUAGCAUUAUGUAAGGUACUGUUUAAUCAACGAGGGGCUAUGCAUUGUCUGGAAAAUAAUGAACGAUGUGGAAGGUGUGUUCCACAACGCUCUAGUGGAGAACUGAACCUUCCAAAUCAAAUCAAAUCACAUUUUAUUUGUCAAAUGAGCAGAAUACAACAGGUGUAGACCUUACAGUGAAAUACCUACUUACAAGCCCUUAACCAACAAUGCAGUUUUAAGAAAAAUACCUAAAAACAAGAAAUAAACAAUUAAAGAGCAGCAGAAGAUAACAAUAGCGGGGUUAUAUACAGGGGGUACCGGUUAGUCGAGGUAAUUGAGGUAAUAUGUACAUGUAGGUAGAGUUAUUAAAGUGACUAUGCAUAGAUAAUAACAGAGAGUAGCAGCAGCGUAAAAGAGGGGGGGCAAUGCAAAUAGUCUGGGUAGCCAUUUGAUUAGAUGUUCAGGAGUCUUAUGGCUUAGAAGCUGUUUAGAAUCCUCUUGGUCCUAGACUUGGAGCUCCGGUACCACUUGCCGUGUGGUAGCAGAGAGAACAGUCUAUGACUAGGGUGGCUGGAGUCUGACAAUUGUAGGGCCUUCCUCUGACACCGCCUGGUAUAGAGGUCCUGGAUAGCAGGAAGCUUGGCCCCCGUGAUGUACUGGGCCGUACGCACUACCCUCUGAAGUGCCAUGCAGUCAGAGGCCGAGCAAUUGCCAUACCAGGCAGUGAUGCAACCCGUCAGGAUGCUCUCGAUGGUGCAGCUGUAGAACCUUUUGAGGAUCUGAGGAUCCAUGUCAAAUCUCCUCAGUCUCAGAUCCAAAGUUAGUUUGAUGGUGAUGUGGACACCAAGGAACUGGAAGCUCUCAACCUGCUCCACUGCAGCCACUUCAAUGAGAAUGGGGGCAUGCUCGGUCCUCUUUUUCUUGUAGUCCACAAACAUCUUCUUUGUCUUGAUCACGUUGAGGCAGGUUGUUAUCCUGGCACCACACGGCCAGGUCUCUGACCUCCUCCCUAUAGGCUGUCUCGUUGUUGUCGGUGAUCAAGCCUACCACUGUUGUGUUGUCUGCAAAUAUAAUGAUGGUGUUGGAGUCGUGCUUGGCCGUGCAGUUAUGAGUGAACAGGGAGUAC